CAAAAGUAACAUUUUACCUUCGAUGUCCUUACUAGCUGCGUUGGACCACCAUAGCAAGGGGAGUCAAGCUUUACUCUGUCUUGACUGGCUUCUGGAAAAUCACCUCCAUAUGAGAGAAGAAGGUGAAGAAUUGUAUGUCUGGAUCUGCAGAUUACAGGGUGGCUACAGAUCCCCUGGCCUAUUUGCACAUCAGCACUACUGAAGCUACACUGACACAGCAUAGAGGCUGGAGAACUGCUAGUCAACACAAGUUGGCUCUACCAGAAGUGAACAAAACAUUUCAGGCUGAACAUAAACAGUGACUUUUCAGUGAGAAUUUUUUUGUUAACAUCUCAGCAAUUCUGAAUAUGUUCCAGGAUAGGCGCACACAUGCAUAUACUUACUGGAUAAAUAUGAUGAAUAAUCUGUUUUGAUUUGGCUUGCAGAAAAUACUUUAAACAGCUAAUCCAAUUCCAUGUAAAUACUGAACUUUAAACCACAAUAUCUGUUUCUAUCCCUGAAUCCCCCAAACUGUAGAGGGAACUCAAGAACCUCCAUAUUUCCAACCACUGGAAAGGUUUCCCAUCACUUUCCCUUCAUGUACUUCUUCUUGGAGACUUUCACUUAAAACCUCUUCCCUUUUAAUAUCCAUUUACUAUAUGAAGCUUGCAGAUAGCCUUCUUUCUUAGAUCAGCAUUGGUCUACUUUGAUCAGCACUGCCCUUCUACCUGUCCAAUGUGGUGCACAUUUGCGCUUUGUUAUGGGUUCACAGAAUCACAGAAUCGCUGAGGUUGGAAGGGACCUCUGGAGAUCAUCUAGUCCAACCCCGCCAUUGCCCUGGUAGAUUUGCAGAGAAGUUAACAGACUGUUAUUUGGGACUUGGAAGCUUUGGACAACCCCUGUUUCAUAGACGUGUAUGUGAGGAAAGGAAGGUAGACAAAACCAAAUUACCUGAGAAGGGGUUAAUCACUCCAUUUUCUAACUUUAAAGAACCUUCUUCUAGCACAGAGAUGGGUUAGAAGGUGAAGGAAGAUAUCUGUUUGUAGCAGUACAUGCAGGAAAUCUGAAUGUGGUCUUCAAAGUCCAGGCUUAUAGGAAGAUUGCUCUGUAAAUCAGAGACACCUUCAGCAUGUCAGGAAGAGCUACUGUGAAAUUUUAAAAGAAGCCUGAGAGCAACUUUCACCACUGUAGCCUGUGUGGAAAUGGCAGAGAACAGCAGUGGG
rnacentral:lncRNA from 1 species